GUUUUUUGGGAAUAACUUUGGAAUUUUAACACCAAAAGUCAUAACACCUCUUUUGGGAUCAAGACCUACGUUUUGAUGUAUAUAUUACCGGGGUUUUCUCAAAGCUGCGGGACAAGUUACGCGCCGAAAGAAUAAUAAACCCGAAACAGAAUAUUAAUAGAUGCCUCGGGGCUCCGGCAAGAGGAGAGCAGUUUGAGUCCAGAGCUCUGUAAGCAAUCUCAAACUGCUCUGCUUGGCUAUACUUUUAAUAAAUUAGACGUGUUGAACUUUAAAUCUGUGUCCUGUAUACUUCAUCAAACGAACACGCGAGUCCGGUUUUGCUGCGAAAUAAUAGCGGACUCGACAAUUCAGUGACCCUGAUGUGAUGAAGGCAGGACGAUAGAUCGUACGAUCAGUUGUUAAACGGAACAUUUUUGUUACAGACGAUACAGACAAGUGGAACACGGAAGAGAACGAGAGGCCUCUAACUGAACAGCGUAGAUAAGCACGAGGAUUGAGGAAGAGUCCCCGGGUGGUUAGCAUGCUGUGCAGGUGCCUCCAGAGAGAUUGCAAUUGACGGAAGGGUCCCCGGUGACUGACAACUGAAGCGUGGUGCUGUCAAGGGAGAUCGAUAAUAGGAACCCUUCAGGAUCCAUGAUCCGAUGAGAAGGGGAUCUCCUUGGAGGAUUCAAUUAGGAGUCUCAAUGAGGUGCAGCUGCUGCGACGCGAUUGGCCGUUCACAAGUGUGAGCAAUCAGCAGUGUGGUACUUGAGGAGUAGUGAACCACCGGUGAGUCAGUCCCUCGUGUAGCCCUCGUGUGAGAAGACCUGCGACUCUACCUGCAUGACUCAACUGAGCGAGGAAACCGGGAGGAUCCAAUUAGGGGAGUCAACGAGGCGCAGCCCUGCGGAGGCUCGGCCGCUGUGACGCGAUUGGCCGUUCACAAGUGUGAGCAAUCAGCAGUGUGGUACUUGAGGAGUAGUGAACCACCGGUGAGUCAGUCCCUCGUGUAGCCCUCGUGUGAGAAGACCUGCGACUCUACCUGCAUGACUCAACUGAGCGAGGAAACCGGGAGGAUCCAAUUAGGGGAGUCAAUGAGGCGCAGCCUUGGCUGUUCACAGGUGUGAGCAAUCAGCAGUGUGGGCAGCUCAAGUACCCACAAACAAUGGCUUGGAAAGCAAAAACCUGCGAGUCCACUGAGCAGGGGACGCCGUGGGACACUCUGCAACCACUCCAGAUGUCUACCAAGAACACAAAGAAUGAAGACACCAGGUCCUGUUAGAGUGGUGGUAAAAGUUUAUUGAAGUAUUUGUUUGACAAGUAGUAGCUAGUGUGACUCUUUGUGCAAGACAGAAAUAAUAAACUCAGCUUUUGUGCUGUACAUUUUGGAAAA